rnacentral:rRNA from 1 species
UUACGGCCAUAUCACCUUGAAACAUUGGUUCCCGUACGAUCACCGGAGUUAAGCAGCGUCGAAUCUAGUCACUGCCUAGACGGGUGACCGCUUGGGAAUACCAGGUGCUGUAA